CGGACGCAGUGGGCUGGGCUGGGGGGGCGUCUUUCUUCUUUGUCAGCGGAGCGAGCUAGGGGAGAGCGGGAGCGAGAGCGUGCGGCGUGCCUUUCCGAUCCCAAGGAGCGGCGGCGGCGGCGGCCAGGGACCGAGGAGCAGUGCCGAUCGAGGCCGGUGUACCUGCCGCCCAUCCUCGGGUAGAAAGCGGCGAAGAGGUAGGAGACUGCGCUGAGGAUCCCGCUCCGAAGAGGGAGCGUCGUCGAGGACCAGCCAGGCCGGACCCGUGGUGAGGCCGCUUGCCGCGGGGUGAGGCCGGCUGCUGGGUUAGUCGUGUUUAUCGUCACCCCGUAAAGUGAUUUCCUUCCGGUACUAAAGGGUGUUCCUAUCCCGAGUUUUCCGCAUACUCCGGUACCCCGCAGAGCCGAAGGGGUUCUUCGUCCAAAGCGGUCAGGACUUCGUGGAGAUGUUCGAGAAACUUUCGACCCUCGGGUAGCUCCUGCUCUCGAUGGCGUAGGAACGACUGUGGUAGGACCUAUCGGUUUUCUUAGUUGGUUACGGACCGUGAUCGGCAGUACACUGCCUGGUUCUCAGGCUCGGAGUGUUGAGUUGCAGCCAGUGUGGUCUAGGUCUACUGGUUGUGGGAAGACGACGAGCCAUACCGUACCUACAGUCACUAUUACUUUGGAGGGAGUAGUUGUCUAGGUACCUACAGUCACUUUUAGGGGUUCUACGAGAGAAGAAUGUUCUCGGGUUUGGACUUGGACUUUAACUACAAGGUCGACGAGGACAACGGUUGCUGGAGUUAUGACCCAGAAGUCUCAGUGCACGACACGUAAGACUUCGAGUUUUGUUACCACCGUCGAACGUUCUUGUCCGAAACCUCUGCGUACGAGGGAAACACUUCGGUUAACGAACAUUCGUACGACAACCACCCUUACCAUUACGACGGCAUCCUAGUAGGAGCCUUGGAUCGAAAGUUUUAACCCAUCAACGAAUAGUGGGAGUCCUUCGUGAAAAAUUCGUUUCCGGUGACGUACUACAACGACUGUAUUGCUUCCCUGUUCUUUCUCAAUCUUAUGGAUAACAUUUGCUUAAACCAUCACUAUCAACAGGCGGUAACAAGAUAAUGUAUUCUUUCUUAGAGUAAAAGGUUUCACGAAUACAGUUGUGGAGUGAACGCGCCUAACCACUACUCCUAACGACGCGUCUAACAAGUCCGUUGACGAAUAAUCUUGGUGUAGGUACAGGUACACGUUCUAGUUGACCUCCACUCUAACGUAUGUGUGGCCUCCCGGACCAGUCCCGUCUUAAUUAACUACUCACGUAACGACAAUUAGUGAAGGGUCUUUUCCUAUUAUUCAAGAUGACAUUUCGAACAGGAGAAGUUUAUAUAUUCUGCUUCGGGAGUGGUCUAGGUACAUUUCCAGUAGAACGAUCUUUUAAGUAAUUCCUCACAACCUCAUUUACACCGACACCGUUCGUCACACCUUUAGCACACUAAGUCGCACCCUAUUGUACGUUAGAGGUCCACAAAAAGUGCUUACUUCCCUUCCCGACCCCCGAUGCCUGCGACCUACCCGACGGUUUUCCACGAAAGUAGACACUUAAUCAACCCCUCCAUGAUUGUUCAAGACUUGAUAUGCUCUCUUUUCGGUUUUUAAGAUUCGUACACCUAGUUCACGAGGAUCUACGAUCAACCCCAAGACUUCCCCACGAUUCUCUGCUCCUUCGAGAGACGGAACUAGACUGUAAAAUACCCUUACAGCCCGCUAAACAGUUGGUAUCUACGAUACUACGUUUAAACCAUUAGUAUGGACAACUUCAGCUCUGAGGACUAGCGGUAAUAAUGGUAGAACGUAAUAAGUGACGGUUCUUUUAUCUCCGAAAACUCCUCAAUUGCGCCCUAAUACCGUAACUAAAACUACCAUGACUACUGGAGUUAUUUCGUAAACUGACGUACACACCUUCGUUCAUGACAGCGCCGCCAGGCUUCUUAAGUUCCUUCUCCUGAUCCCGUUCACGUUCAGCCUUGAUCUCCCUAAACGUAAGCCAGUUCUCGCCACCUUCUUCUCACAACCGUCCUUGUCCCGUGUCUCAAACAACGGAAUACUACUAACAUCUAUCAACGUUCCCCGCCACAGCCGGUCAGUAUAAAACCCCAAACCUACAUCAUUUUGGUUGAUUUUUACGGACUACGUCUCGUUCACCUUGAAUUAAUCAUACACAGCAGUCACACAGUGACACAACACGCAGGCCUCAAAUGGAUCGUUAACGUCAAUUGAACGAAGUGACGGGCUCGAAUAAGACGUAGAAAAAAAGAAGG
rnacentral:rRNA from 1 species